AUGAGUCUCCUCCAUGACAGUAAAUUACCACCAUCUUUCAAUAGCGGCCGAUGGAAGCGUGGUUAUAACCCUGAUCUGAUUUUUGUAAAGGAAAGCAUAAGCCACCAAUGCGUCAAAAGGGUAUUAAACUCGAUACCUAACACACAACACAGACCAAUAUGCUGCGUAGCAUAUGCAGCUGUAAGACCAAAAAGUGUCCCAUUCCGCAGAAGAUAUAACUUCAAUAAAGCUAACUGGACAAAGUUUACAGAGACCAUGGAAGCUGCUAUUUCUGAUAUAGAACCUUCUAUAGAAAAUUAUGACCUGUUUGUAGAAGCUGUGAAAAGAUCCUCAAGGCUCUCAAUCCCUAGAGGCUGUCGCACAAGCUACCUACCAGGCCUAAACGAAGAAUCGCUAAAUCAGCUACAGGAAUAUCUCAGACUAUUUCAAGAGAAUCCAUACAGUGAUGGGACUAUAGCAGCAGGUCAAAAACUAUCUACAGCCUUAGCUAAUGCUAAGAAAGACCGUUGGAUAGAGCUGCUUGAGAACCUUGACAUGUCCAAGAGUAGCCGAAAAGCCUGGCAACUGCUGAGACGCCUGGAUAGUGAUCCUGUGAUCAACCAUGGACACGCAAACGUGACACCAGACCAGAUAGCUCACCAGCUAAUUCAGAAUGGGAAAACCAACCACAGUAGAAUAAAGAUGAAAAUCAACAGGGUGCCAGAACUUGAAACCCACCAGUUGUCUUCUCCUCUAAACCUGAAAGAACUCAGAGAAGCCAUCAAGCGAUGUAAGACUGGUAAAGCACCUGGCCUAGACGACCUGAUGAUGGAGCAAAUCAAACACUUGGGCCCCAAAGCUGAAAACUGGCUUUUGAAAUUCUACAAUCAAUGCUUGGCACACAAACAGAUUCCCAGAGCAUGGAGGAAAACUAAGAUCAUUGCCAUUUUAAAACCUGGUAAAGAUGCCUCCAAUGCCAGAAACUAUCGACCAAUCUCCCUCUUAUGUCAUCUAUAUAAAGUCUAUGAGAGGGUGCUAUUAAAUCGACUAGAACCUGUUAUCGAACCCAAGCUUAUUCCACAACAAGCAGGUUUCAGACCAGGGAAAAACUGUACAGGUCAAAUUCUUCAUCUGACUGAGCAUAUUGAGGAAGGCUAUGAGAAAGGCUGCAUUAUGGGAACAGUUUUUGUGGACCUUACGGCAGCCUAUGACACGGUGCAACAUAGAAAAAUGCUGCAUAAAGUCUACCAUAUUACCCGGGACUUUGAUUUUACAAAAACUGUCCAGACCCUCAUAGAAAACCGCAGCUUCUAUGUGGAGUUUCAGGGCCAGAAAAGCAGAUGGAGGAGGCACUAG
ensembl:lncRNA